UACGUAGGGUGCGAGCGUUGCCCGGAUUUAUUGGGCGUAAAGGGCGCGUAGGCGGUUUGGUAGGUCCGCUGUGAAAACUCGAGGCUCAACCUCGAGACGCCGGUGGAAACCAUCAGACUAGAGUCCGGAAGAGGAGAGUGGAAUUCCGUGGUGUAGCGGUGAAAUGCGCAGAUAUCAGGAAGAACACCCGUGGCUAAGGCGGCUCUCUAGUACGGUACUGACGCUGAGACGCGAAAGCGUGGGGAGCGAACAGG
rnacentral:rRNA from 1 species